GUGGGGAAUUUUGGACAAUGGGCGCAAGCCUGAUCCAGCAAUGCCGCGUGCAGGAAGAAGGCCUUCGGGUUGUAAACUGCUUUUGUACGGAACGAAACGGCUCUGGUUAAUACCCGGGGCUAAUGACGGUACCGUAAGAAUAAGCACCGGCUAACUACGUGCCAGCAGCCGCGGUAAUACGUAGGGUGCAAGCGUUAAUCGGAAUUACUGGGCGUAAAGCGUGCGCAGGCGGUUUUGUAAGACAGGCGUGAAAUCCCCGGGCUCAACCUGGGAAUUGCGCUUGUGACUGCAAGGCUGGAGUGCGGCAGAGGGGGAUGGAAUUCCGCGUGUAGCAGUGAAAUGCGUAGAUAUGCGGAGGAACACCGAUGGCGAAGGCAAUCCCCUGGGCCUGCACUGACGCUCAUGCACGAAAGCGUGGGGAGCAAACAGGAUUAGAAAACCGAGUAGUCC
rnacentral:rRNA from 1 species